UCCCCUCUCUCCCCCUUCACCUGUUAAAUGAAUCCCAUGUCUCUUCCCCUCUCUCCCCCCUUCACCUGUUGAAUGAUUCCCAUGUCUCUCCCCCUGUUACAGGGAACAAAAAUGAUAUAGUGAGUCUUCACUUUCUGGUUCUCCUCAAGGCUCAAAGCCUCUCGAUCCACUCAGAUAUCCAAAACCUAGUGGUUUUCUGUUCAGGUUGCUUGUUAUCUCAUUACAGGACUUUAUCAGCCAAUAAAAACACAAAUAUCUUAUAACACAGUUGAUGUCCAUAUUAGAGAAGACAGCUGUAGGAUGGAUGGGCAACCUCUGAUACAGGUGAGGUGUUAGUUUGGACAGGGCAGGUGAGGUGUUAGUUUGGGCAGGACAGGUGAGGUGUUAGUUUGGGCAGGACAGGUGAGGUGUUAGUUUGGACAGGACAGGUGAGGUGUUAGUUUGGACAGGACAGGUGAGGUGUUAGGUUUUUUUUUUAGAUAUGACCUAUAUAUCACAACAUCCCAGUGUAACCUUGUCCCUGCCUGGAUACAGUAGUACAGUACCUUUAGAUAUGACCUAUAUAUCACAACAUCCCAGUGUAACCUUGUCCCUGUCUGGAUACAGUAGUACAGUACCUUUAGAUAUGACCUAUAUAUAACAACAUCCCAGUGUGACCUUGUCCCUGUCUGGAUACAGUAGUACAGUACCUUUUUAGAUAUGACCUAUAUAUCACAACAUCCCAGUGUAACCUUGUCCCUGUCUGGAUACAGUAGUACAGUACCUUUAGAUAUGACCUAUAUAUCACAACAUCCCAGUGUGACCUUGUCCCUGUCUGGAUACAGUAGUACAGUACCUUUUUAGAUAUGACCUAUAUAUCACAACAUCCCAGUGUAACCUUGUCCCUGUCUGGAUACAGUAGUACAGUACCUUUAGAUAUGACCUAUAUAUCACAACAUCCCAGUGUAACCUUGUCCCUGUCUGGAUACAGUAGUACAGUACCUUUAGAUAUGACCUAUAUAUCACAACAUCCCAGUGUGACCUUGUCCCUGUCUGGAUACAGUAGUACAGUACCUUUAGAUAUGACCUAUAUAUCACAACAUCCCAGUGUAACCUUGUCCCUGUCUGGAUACAGUAGUACAGUACCUUUAGAUAUGACCUAUAUACCACAACAUCCCAGUGUAACCUUGUCCCUGCCUGGAUACAGUAGUACAGUACCUUUAGAUAUGACCUAUAUAUC